GAACGCUCAGUCAUUAGCGUGUAGCAGUCAGCAGCCAGGAGCAGGUAGUCUGGACGGGAGCGUCAAUAAGACAGAAAGAGGAUAUAACAUUGUUUCAGCCUCCAUUCUCACAGCUCAGGAACAGCAGAGAGGACAAGGAUCUAUGUAAAGGAGUGUGAGCUGGAGAGGCAGCUGUCACCUGCAUGGGUGAAAAAGAAGUGGGAGAACCAUGAGCGAAAAAAUAACGGCCGGUGGUGGCUGGUCCGCUUCAAGAAGAUGAGGUGCGGGAGGUCCCUCCGCCCCCCGGCAUAUGCAGUUCGGUCCAUACUGGACUCGAGGUGUCGGGUGGGGGCUCUUCAGUACCUCGUGGACUGUGAGGGGUACGGUCCGGAGGAGAGAUGCUGGGUGCCGGUGGAGGACGUACUGGAUCCACCUAUGCCAAGGGAGUUUCACCGCCUCCACCCGGAUUGCCCUGCGCCUCGUCCUCCGGGUCGUCCUCGAGGCCGACGUCGUCGCGCUGCGGCGCUUGGGCGCUCGGUGUCGCCGGUCUACUAGCCACUACCGAUCCCUUUUCUUUUUCUGGUUGUUUUGUCUGUGUUCCUUUUCAAACCUGGUUUUCAAUUGCUUUGAUUUCUGUGGGUAUAUUGGGCACCUGUUACCUGCCGUAAUUCAUGCAGGAUUAGACUUGUGUGUUUUGCGCUCGAUUGUAUAUGAUGUUUGUUUUUUUUUCGCUAUUACGCACGUGUAUGCAAAGUGUGGGAACUGUGUUUGUUCCUCCGUGUGUUUGCACGAGUUUCUGAUUAUUCGAGAGCCUUAUUAGAGAGCGUAGUUUUGGGAUUUUUUUCUGUGCCGUUUUGUAUUGGUGGACUAUAUUAUUAAACACGCUUCUCAGACA